AAUCAACGCUGGCGGCGUGCCUCAGACACGCAAGUCGAACGAUUAAAGCUCUCUUCGGAGAGUGCAUAGAGUGGCGCACGGGUGAGUAACACGUAAGUAAUCUACCUUCGAGUGGGGAAUAACGUCCGGAAACGGGCGCUAAUACCGCAUAAUGCAGCGGCAUCGCAAGAUGACAGUUGUUAAAGGAGCAAUCCGCUUGAAGAGGAGCUUGCGGCAGAUUAGCUAGUUGGUAGGGUAAUGGCCUACCAAGGCUACGAUCUGUAACCGGUCUUAGAGGACGGUCGGUUACACUGACACUGAAUAACGGGUCAGACUCCUACGGGAGGCAGCAGUCGGGAAUUUUGGGCAAUGGGGGAAACCCUGACCCAGCAACGCCGCGUGAAGGAUGAAGUAUUUCGGUAUGUAAACUUCGAAAGAAUAGGAAAAAUUAAUGACGGUACUAUUUAUAAGGUCCGGCUAACUACGUG
rnacentral:rRNA from 1 species